rnacentral:lncRNA from 1 species
UGAGAGGCUGUCAUGUGGAUGAUUCUCUUGUGCUUCUGACUUUUUACAUCUCUACCAUGACUCAACUGCCUUGAACUUCCCUCAAAGCUUAGAGCCUUCACCUCUUAGAAAAAUCCAUCCUCCAUGCUUCCCUCUAUGAAUGGUUCAGUGAUUACAUGGCUCCAUCCUCGUCCUGUAGAAGCAACUGCCAGAGGCAAAACUCUGGCUUGCUCUCUGUGUCUGUUUAGC